CAGCAGGUGAAGAGGAUCUCUGUAUGUAGCCAUUCCUUAGAGCAUCUUUUAUAUACUCCUCCAAGCAGAGAGUUUCUUGAGGAGACAACGCAUAGACUCUCCCUUUCGGAGGCAUAGUGCCUGGUAGCAGAUUAAUGGCACAGUCAUAGGGUCUAUGCUGUGGUAAUAUCUCUGACUGAACCUUAUUGAAAACUUCUUUUACCUCCAAAUACUGCGGUGGAAUUUCUGUGGUUAAAGGAGAGGCAGUAGGGACAUUGAUGGUACCAACACGUUGUGGCAUAUGGUGUUUACAAUGACUCUUGCAAUUCUCUCCCCAAACCACAAUCUCUCCUUUAAUCCAAUCUAGGGGUGGAUUGUGUUUCUGGAGCCAAGGUAAACCGAGUAUCACAGGACAUGAAGGGGA